GGGGUAUGGUGGUAGGUGAACGGGUAGUAGGUGAACGGGGUAUGGUGGUAGGUGAACGGGGUAUGGUGGUAGGUGAACGGGGUAUGGUAUUAGGUGAACGGGGUAUGGUAUUAGGUGAACGGGGUAUGGUAGUAGGUGAACGGGGUAUGGUGGUAGGUGAACGGGUAGUAGGUGAACGGGGUAUGGUGGUAGGUGAACGGGGUAUGGUGGUAGGUGAACGGGGUAUGGUAUUAGGUGAACGGGGUAUGGUAUUAGGUGAACGGGGUAUGGUGGUAGGUGAACGGGGUAUGGUGGUAGGUGAACGGGGUAUGGUAUGUAGGUGAACGGGU
rnacentral:lncRNA from 1 species